rnacentral:rRNA from 1 species
UAUUAUUGAUUUAGUAAGAUUGGAGUGCUUGAGUAGUAAAAUAUAAUUUUUGAAACUUAAAGAAUAUGGCGGUAUUUUAGUCCGUUUAGAGGAAUCUGUCUUUUUAUUGAUAAUACACGAUUAGUAAUACUUACUUUUGUGAUCAGUUUGUAUACCGCCGUCAUAAGAAUAUUUUGAAGAGGAGGAGAAGGGAAAAUUUCUUAAUUUAAAAAGUUGGAAUAUGUCAGGUCAAGGUGCAGUUAAUGAGUAAGAUUAUGAUGGAUUACAAUAAAUUUAUUUAUAUGGAUUGUUUUUUAAAAAUUGAAUGAAUGAAAGUGGAUUUGAUUGUAAAUUAAUUGUAAUUGAUUUUUUGAUUAUUGGCUCUAGAAUAUGUACAUAUCGCCCGUCGCUCUCGUAUAAGAUGUAAAAUGAG